UACGGGGGGAGCAAGCGUUGUUCGGAUUUACUGGGCGUAAAGGGCGCGUAGGCGGUCAGCACAAGUCAGUGGUGAAAUCUCCGAGCUUAACUCGGAAACUGCCGUUGAUACUAUCUGUCUUGAAUACCGUGGAGGUGAGCGGAAUAUGUCAUGUAGCGGUGAAAUGCUUAGAUAUGACAUAGAACACCAAUUGCGAAGGCAGCUCACUACACGAGCAUUGACUCUGAGGCACGAAAGCGUGGGGAUCAAACAGG
rnacentral:rRNA from 1 species